rnacentral:rRNA from 1 species
CCAGACUCCUACGGGAGGCAGCAGUGAGGAAUAUUGGUCAAUGGACGCAAGUCUGAACCAGCCAAGUAGCGUGCAGGAUGACGGCCCUCCGGGUUGUAAACUGCUUUUAGUUGGGAAUAAAAGGGGGCUCGUGAGCCCCGUAUUGUAUGUACCAUCAGAAAAAGGACCGGCUAAUUCCGUGCCAGCAGCCGCGGUAAUACGUAUGGUGCAAGCGUUAUCCGGAUUUACUGGGUGUAAAGGGAGCGCAGGCGGCACGGCAAGCCUGAUGUGAAAGCCCGCGGCCCAACCGCGGGACUGCAUUGGGAACUACCGGGCUGGAGUGCCGGAGAGGUAGGCGGAAUUCCUAGUGUAGCGGUGAAAUGCGUAGAUAUUAGGAGGAACACCAGUGGCGAAGGCGGCCUACUGGACGGUGACUGACGCUGAGGCUCGAAAGCGUGGGGAGCAAACAGGAUUAGAUACCCGAGUAGU